GGGAGCUUGGCUCAGUUGGAAGAGCGCAGGUCUCAUACGAAUGUAUGAUCUGGAUGUGCAACACCAGAGCUAUCCUGAGGUCGUGAGUUCGAGCCUCACAGUUCCCA
rfam:Podospora anserina genomic DNA, chromosome 3.